rnacentral:rRNA from 1 species
AGAGUUUGAUCCUGGCUCAGAGCGAACGUUAGCGGCGGGCUUAACACAUGCAAGUCGAGCGAGAAAGCGUCCUUCGGGGCGUGAUUAAAGCGGCGAACGGGUGAGUAACACAUGGGUAACCUACCUCUCGGCGGGGGACAACAGUUCGAAAGGACUGCUAAUACCGCAUGAGUCGGUGACGGCUUUGGCUGUUACCGGGAAAGGCGGCUUCUUCGGAGGCUGUCACCGAGAGAGGGGCCCGUGGCCCAUCAGCUUGUUGGUGAGGUAAUGGCUUACCAAGGCUUAGACGGGUAGCUGGUCUGAGAGGAUGAUCAGCCACACUGGGACUGAGACACGGCCCAGACUCCUACGGGAGGCAGCAGUGGGGAAUAUUGGACAAUGGGCGAAAGCCUGAUCCAGCCACGCCGCGUGUGUGAUGAAGGUCUUCGGAUCGUAAAGCACUGUGGAGAGGGAAGAAUGACCGGUGGGAAUAAUACCCCAUCGGAGUGACGGUACCUCUUUAGCAAGCACCGGCUAACUCCGUGCCAGCAGCCGCGGUAAUACGGAGGGUGCAAACGUUGCUCGGAAUCAUUGGGCGUAAAGCGCGUGUAGGCGGUCUGUUAAGUCGAGUGUGAAAGCCCUGGGCUCAACCCAGGAAGUGCGCUCGAUACUGGCAGACUAGAGUACGGGAGAGGGUAGUGGAAUUCCCGGUGUAGAGGUGAAAUUCGUAGAUAUCGGGAGGAACACCAGUGGCGAAGGCGGCUACCUGGACCGAUACUGACGCUGAGACGCGAAAGCGUGGGUAGCAAACAGGAUUAGAUACCCUGGUAGUCCACGCUGUAAACGAUGAGUGCUAGGUGAUGCGGGUAUUGACCCCUGCGGCGCCGAAGCUAACGCAUUAAGCACUCCGCCUGGGGAGUACGGCCGCAAGGCUAAAACUUAAAGGAAUUGAUGG